rnacentral:rRNA from 1 species
GACCUCGAAUCAGGUGGGACUACCCGCUGAACUUAAGCAUAUCAAUAAGCGGAGGAAAAGAAACUAACAAGGAUUCCCCUAGUAACGGCGAGUGAAGCGGGAUGAGCUCAAAUUUAAAAUCUGGCGGUCUUUGAUUGCCCGAAUUGUAAUCUAGAGAAGUGUUUUCCGCGCUGGACUGUGUACAAGUUUCCUGGAUACGGAACAUCAUAGAGGGUGAGAAUCCCGUCCUUGACACAGACUCCCAGUGCUUUUGUGAUGCGCUCUCGACGAGUCGAGUUGUUUGGGAUUGCAGCUCAAAAUGGGAGGUAAAUUCCUUCUAAAGCUAAAUAUUGGCGAGAGACCGAUAGCGAACAAGUACCGUGAGGGAAAGAUGAAAAGCACUUUGGAAAGAGAGUUAAACAGUACGUGAAAUUGUUAAAAGGGAAACGCUUGAAGUCAGUCACGUUUGCUUGGAUUCAGCCUUACUUCGGUUUGGUGCAUUUCCUUGCUGACGGGCCAGCGUCCAUGUUGUUUGCCGGAGAAGGGGUGAGGGAAUGUGGCUCCUUCGGGAGUGUUAUAGCCUUCAUUCGCAUGCGGGGAGCGAUAUGGAGUGAUACAGCACG